GCCAAUACGUAAAGAAGAGUUUUGAAGUUGAAGUAAAGGUCAACUAGUUCUGUCCUAUUAGAAAAGAAGAUAAAAUGCGUCGGCAAUCGGUACAGCUUGAUCGCUGCAACUUGUUAAGUAAAAACAGAAGAGAACAAUACCUAUGUGAACCGCUACUUUUACUUCUAUAUCUUCUGCGCUCCUCAUUUCAACAUUCCAAUUGAUCACACACGGAGUGCAAUUGUGUUCAAACAGGGCGUAAAUGACUUUCACGAGCACUUCAUCGGUUGUUUUUCAUCACUUGAAGUCAUGCUUCCUCCAUCAUAUCAACUCUGAAGUAGUAUCAAGUGUCCUUGCUCACCAUCUAAGGGUUUAAUGUCAUGGUAGUUAUUUUAUUACAUUUUAUUUUUAAUUACAAAGUCUUAAUGUUGGUUGGUGCCUUAAUUAGCGAAGAAUGACUCAUAUUGAAGGGUGUAAAUUUUUAGCUUUGAUUGUUUUAACACCUACAUGAAGAAAGUGGGACUGUGAAUCAGAAAGCAAGUCGACAUGUAAAGGUUGCCAUCAGAUUAGAUGAUUUUUGUCGUCCAUGCCUAGUACUCCAUUUGGAAGUUUGUUGCAUAAUUGUAUUAGUGCCUCCUCUACUGUCAAUUGUACUAUUCUUUACCUUUCUACUUUAUCAAUUUUUUCUUC